rnacentral:rRNA from 1 species
AGCGGACGCUGGCGGCAGGCCUAACACAUGCAAGUCGAACGAACUCUUCGGAGUUAGUGGCGGACGGGUGAGUAACACGUGGGAACGUGCCCUUAGGUUCGGAAUAACUCAGGGAAACUUGUGCCAAUACCGAAUGUGCCCUUCGGGGGAAAGAUUUAUUGCCCUUAGUGCGGCCCGCGUCUGAUUAGCUAGUUGGUGAGGUAAAGGCUCACCAAGGCGACGAUCAGUAGCUGGUUUGAGAGGAUGAUCAGCCACAUUGGGACUGAGACACGGCCCAAACUCCUACGGGAGGCAGCAGUGGGGAAUCUUGCGCAAUGGGCGGAAGCCUGACGCAGCCAUGCCGCGUGAAUGAUGAAGGUCUUAGGAAUGUAAAGUUCUUUCACCGGGGACGAUAAUGACGGUACCCGGAGAAGAAGCCCCGGCUAACUUCGUG